rnacentral:rRNA from 1 species
GAUGAACGCUGGCGGCGUGCCUAAUACAUGCAAGUCGAGCGAACGGACGAGAAGCUUGCUUCUCUGAUGUUAGCGGCGGACGGGUGAGUAACACGUGGAUAACCUACCUAAGACUGGGAUAACUUCGGGAAACCGGAGCUAAUACCGGAUAAUAUUUUGAACCGCAUGGUUCAAAAGUAAAAGACGGUCUUGCUGUCACUUAUAGAUGGAUCCGCGCUGCAUUAGCUAGUUGGUAAGGUAACGGCUUACCAAGGCAACGAUGCAUAGCCGACCUGAGAGGGUGAUCGGCCACACUGGAACUGAGACACGGUCCAGACUCCUACGGGAGGCAGCAGUAGGGAAUCUUCCGCAAUGGGCGAAAGCCUGACGGAGCAACGCCGCGUGAGUGAUGAAGGUCUUCGGAUCGUAAAACUCUGUUAUUAGGGAAGAACAUAUGUGUAAGUAACUGUGCACAUCUUGACGGUACCUAAUCAGAAAGCCACGGCUAACUACGUG